rnacentral:rRNA from 1 species
CGUAGGGGGCGAGCGUUGUCCGGAUUUAUUGGGCGUAAAGAGCUCGUAGGUGGUUCGAUAAGUCGGGUGUGAAAACUCUGGGCUUAACUCAGAGACGCCACCCGAUACUGUCGUGACUUGAGUCUGGUAGGGGAGUGUGGAAUUCCCGGUGUAGCGGUGAAAUGCGCAGAUAUCGGGAGGAACACCAGUGGCGAAGGCGGCACUCUGGGCCAGUACUGACACUGAGGAGCGAAAGCGUGGGUAGCGAACAGGAUUAGAUACCCUGGUAGUCCACGCCGUAAACGUUGGGCACUAGGUGUGGGUUUCAACCAACGGGAUCCGUGCCGCAGCUAACGCAUUAAGUGCCCCGCCUGGGGGAGUACGGCCGCAAGGCUA